GUAGAGCUGAGAUCCAUGUGACUGACUCUGUGUGUUUGCAUAUGAGUCCUGCCUCUCUGCUCCCAGCUGUUAAGAGGUCAGAGUUGAUCAGUGUCUGUCCAGGUCUUUCAGAGUCACUGACACACCAGCAGAACAAUGAAGAUGUUACUGACUCUACUGUUGACCAUCCUGGAGCUCCUGGUUCAGGGAUCUUCAGGACAAGUUACUGUAACUCAAACCCCUGGAUCUCAGUCUGUUGCUCCAGGACAGACUGUCUCUAUUAAAUGUAAAGUCAAUCCAAGUACGGGUAACUGCUUCAACUGGUACCUUCAGAAAUCAGGAGAAGUGCCUAAACUCCUUAUCAGAUGCACAGACACCCGUCACUCUGGAGUUCCUGAUCGUUUCAGUGGAACAAAGUCUGGGAAUACAGACUUUACUCUGACCAUCAGUGGAGUUCAGGCUGAAGAUGCUGGAGUUUAUUACUGUCAGAGUUUUCAUAGCAUCAACAGCCAGUGGUUGUUCACACAGUGAAAAACACUCGUACAAAAACCUCCUUUAGUCAAAGUAAACAGAAACUGAACUGACUGCUGCAGCUGGAAGUUGCUGCAGAGACUCAUGCAGUUCUCUGUAAACACACAUGGAUUGCUUUUUAAAUUUUGUUAUUAAUUAAUCAAGUACUUCAUUUUAUGUUUUCAACUCACAUUUAAGACCAAAAAGUAUUCCAAAUCCUUUUAGUUUUAGGUUUAAAGUUAUCUUUUAUUUUACCAACAGUUUAUUUCUAACUGAAAGUAAUAUCAAUAUUUUGGAGAGGCCCAACCUGAAUCUGAUAGAUAAUAUAUGAGUAAAUGUAAAGAUUGAAUAUGAACAACAUUGGGAUUAACUUUAUUUCAUUUUUCUUUAUUAAACUUUUAAUAUUAAAGUUAUGUCUUUUUAUGAGAAAUGCAAUUGUUUUUUUCCUUGGAGAUAUUCAUUUUGUUGGAUGUAAACCACUCAAUAACAACAAAUGCAUUCAUUUUUUCACUUUUUUAUUUUUACAACUUGAUGAUCAUUUCAUUAUCCUCUAUCUGACCACACUGCAGUGUUUUUCUGUUUCUAUUUAAUGAGCUGCUCUCAUCAUAUACAGAAUAUAUUACAAGCAUUUGUUUGAGAAGAGUUAAACUAAUUUCCAAUAAAUAUCCAAUAUAUAUUUUAAUGAAAUUUCCAUAAUAACAAAGGAUUUAUUUUCCAGAAUUAAUAUUAUUUUUACAUUGCUGUGUUGUUUUUUAAGAGAUUCCUCUCUCAUUUCUUAACAUAAAGAAAAUUCUUGGCUUAAUGAAUUUAAUUUUAAAUGUAAAUUAACAAGGUGUGUGAAACAAAUAUGUAAAUGUCAAGACUGAAUUGUAACACUCACACACAAGAGAAUAACUUUUACACUCCCUGUGAGUCAUGCUAGGACUGGGAACACUGGUCUCUCCUCAAAGGCUCUCUUGCUGGAAUCUUGGUGGCUCAUCAGAAAAUCCCUGAAACACUGGUUGGAUCAGAAGAUGUUGGUAAAAUAUAUAAAAAAAUACUUUAAACCUACAUUUUUUCAAGGCUAUGAAUAUUUAGGACUUGGCUGGACUGGCAAUCCAAUGUAAUGGCUGAAGAUGCUGCAGUUUAUUACUGUAAAGGGGUGUUUGAUUCUAGUAAAUAUGAGCUGUUCACACAGAAACUGUCAAAUAAAAACUGAAACUGAAAA